CGGAACAUGGCGGCGGCGUGAGGCGGGCGACGGCAGGAGCGGCUUGACAGGCGCGGGAGCCGCUGCCGGGGACCCGCUUCCCGCCCGCCCGGAAACUGUUGUGCUGAAAGGAAGAAUUAACUGGUCUUUCAACUUCAGCCUUUUUAUUGUGAGAGGGGAGAUCACAGAAGUGUCACCAUGGGGAGAACAGCAGCUAAAGAUUCAAAGAAUAUUAAAAAAGAGAAAGAUGGAAAGAAUCAGCAGGCAAACAACCCGUCUUUAAAAAGUGGAGUCAACCUGAAGUGGCAGCUUCAUUAUUAGACUCAAAGAAGAAUUUUU
rnacentral:lncRNA from 1 species